GCUCCAGUGGCGCAAUCGGUAAGCGCACGGUACUUAUAAGACAGUGCGGUUGAGAGCAAUGCUGAGGUUGUGAGUUCAAGCCUCACCUGGAGCA
rnacentral:tRNA from 1 species